GACGAACGCUGGCGGCGUGCUUAACACAUGCAAGUCGAACGCUGAAGCUUGGUGCUUGCACUGGGUGGAUGAGUGGCGAGCGGGUGAGUAAUACGUGAGUAACCUGCCCUUCACUCUGGGAUAAGCCUGGGAAACUGGGUCUAAUACUGGAUACGACAUGUCACCGCAUGGUGGUGUGUGGAAAGGGUUUUACUGGUUUUGGAUGGGCUCACGGCCUAUCAGCUUGUUGGUGGGGUAAUGGCUCACCAAGGCGACGACGGGUAGCCGGCCUGAGAGGGUGACCGGCCACACUGGGACUGAGACACGGCCCAGACUCCUACGGGAGGCAGCAGUGGGGAAUAUUGCACAAUGGGCGGAAGCCUGAUGCAGCGACGCCGCGUGAGGGAUGACGGCCUUCGGGUUGUAAACCUCUUUCAGCACGGAAGAAGCGAAAGUGACGGUACGUGCAGAAGAAGCGCCGGCUAACUACGUG
rnacentral:rRNA from 1 species